GACGAACGCUGGCGGCGUGCUUAACACAUGCAAGUCGAGCGGUAAGGCCCUUUCGGGGGUACACGAGCGGCGAACGGGUGAGUAACACGUGGGUGACCUGCCCUCAGCUCUGGGAUAAGCCUGGGAAACCGGGUCUAAUACCGGAUAUGACUCCAUGACGCAUGUUGUGGGGUGGAAAGCCUUGUGCGGCUGAGGAUGGGCCCGCGGCCUAUCAGCUUGUUGGUGGGGUGAUGGCCUACCAAGGCGACGACGGGUAGCCGGCCUGAGAGGGCGACCGGCCACACUGGGACUGAGACACGGCCCAGACUCCUACGGGAGGCAGCAGUGGGGAAUUGUUCGCAAUGGGCGCAAGCCUGACGACGCAACGCCGCGUGGAGGAUGAAGGUCUUCGGAUUGUAAACUCCUGUUGCUCGGGACGAAUGGCUCCGGCCUAAUACGUCGGAGUGUGACGGUACCGGGUGAGGAAG
rnacentral:rRNA from 1 species